AUGAGCCAGCGCCACCACUGUGAGGCCUACAGCUCUGCCUGGGAGGAGGAGGAGGAGGAGGAAGAGGAAGAGAAGAAUGUUUCUCCAUCCCAGAGAGAUGAAGUAAUUCAGAGGUUGGCCAAACUCAAGUACCAGUUCAGCCUUCACCCAGAAACAUUUGCUCUGGCUAUCAGUCUUUUGGACAGGUUUUUAGCUACUGUAAAGGAUCACCCAAAAUAUUUGAACUGCUUUGCAAUUAGCUGGUUGUUUUUGUUUUUUAGCUGCUAAGACUGUUGAAGAAGAUGAGAAAAUUCCAGUCCUAAAGGUAUUGGUAAGAGACAGUUUCUGUGGAUGUUCCUCAUCUGAAAUUUUGAGAAUGGAGAGAAUUAUUCUGGAUAAGUUGAAUUGGGAUCUUCACACGGCCACACCAUUGGAUUUUCUUCACAUUUUCCAAGCCAUUGCAGUGUCAAAUGAGGCCUCAGUUAUUUUUCAGUUUGCCCAAACAGAGCCCAUCCCAGCGUCCGGCAGUCCUGACCAAGCAGUUGCUGUACUGCAUGGCCUGCAGCCACUUCUACAGUUCAAAGGACCCAUGCUUGCCCUGGCCAUGGUUAGUCUGGAAAUGGAGAAACUCUUUCCUGAUUGGCUUCCUCUUACAAUUGAGCUGCUUCAGAAAGCACAGAUGGAUAGCUUCCAGUUGAUCCACUGUCAGGAGCUCGUGGCACACCCCCCCUCUGCUCUGCAACCUUCCCUGCCUCUAAAUUCCGUUUAUGUCUACCGUCCCCUCAAGCACACCCUGGUAACCUGUGACAAAGGAGCGUUCAAAUUACAUCCCUCCUCUGUCUCAGACCCAGAUUUCUCCAAGGACAACAGCAAGCCAGAAGUGCCAGUCAGAGGAACAACAGCCUUCUACCAUCAUCUCCCAGCUUCCAGUGGGUGCAAGCAUACCUCUGCUAAAUGCAAAGUGGAAGAAACGGAAGUGGAUGACUUCUACGAUGGAAUCAAGUGGCUCUAUAAUGAAGAUAAUGCUUCAGAAAAUGUGGGUUCUGUGUGUGACACUGAUCUGCCAAGGCAAGAGGGGAAUGCUUCCCCGUGUCCACCACUGCAGCUUGUUUCUGUCAUGUAA